rnacentral:rRNA from 1 species
GUCGUAGACCAGACCACAUUGAAAGCACCGGUUCUCGUCCGAUCACCGCAGUUAAGCAACGUUGGGCCCGGUCAGUAUUUGCAUUUGUUACACUAAUAUGCUUGAAUUUAGAUU